UAAGCAGCGUUUCUCGUUUCACUUCAUCAGAAUGUCUAACCUUAGAUUCGCUAAUGUAUUUCUAAUGGACACUUAUCAUCAUCAAUCGCUUAAACCUAAGGUCAUUGAAAUGAAAUACGCUGGCGAUACUUGCAACAUCUUCUAUUUAUCGAACCGGACGGAAUAAUGUUUGCAGUGCUAAUUAGUGCCAAUUUCGCAACGAGAUUCGAAAAAUAGGAUCUGGGAGUAAGAAAAUAAGCGAUGCGUCGCGCGGCGAUUGUGAAACGAGAUUGAGGGCGAAACAGAUCCGAAACGGGCAGCGGCAAAACGCAACGAGAAAUUUCACGCUCCAUGAAACGGACCGACCUUCCACGACCGCAAGAACGCGCGUGUGAAAUGACUGUUUCCAGUGAGAUAGUACUUCCACGCGAGAAUCAUAAUAAUGAGUCGGAUUUCUCGGUGUGCUCGUACUUACAACGCAUCUCGUUAAAACCGAUGUUAACCCAUACGUGCCGCGCGCCGUGGCAUAAUCAUGGUUGUUGUAAAGCAACGUCAUAAUAAAAGCUAUUAAAAAAUUCAUUGGGUGGUGUUUUGACGUAGUCGUUGACCGUGAAGUACAUAAAUGAAAAAAGAAAGAUAUUUGCUUUUUCAUUAUCGGCAGUUUAUUUG